UAAAAGUUACUUUGCAAAUAUUUUAAUAGAAUUUUAGAGCGGGAGGGGACCUAGCUUGAUCUCUUGGCCACCACAAACCUCCCAUUCACAGAUGUGGAAACAGGCUCCAAGAGUGUUAAAUAUUGUUUCCAAAAUAGCCUAGAUUGUUCACUGUUUUUUAGUAGUAUUCUCAGUAUUUUUUUUCUUUUUCUUGAGUUGAUAUUUGUAUCUAUUGCCAAAUGAUCAAAGUGAGUAAGUCUAGUUAACAUUUGUCACCAUACAUAGAAAAUUUUUUUUUCUUGUGGUGAAGACUUUAAGAUCUAUUCUGUCAUGAUCUUUGAAAUAUACAAUAUAGUAUGAACUAUAGCCACCAUGCUGUACAUGACAUCCCCGUGACUUUUUUUUAUAACUGUACCUUUUGACCCCUUACGCCCGAUUUCCUAACCCUGUUAUAUCCCCUGUAAGCAUUUCGUAAAGAGCUCAAAUGCUGCCCAGUAUACACUGAAUCUUUCCGUUAGGGAAAUGCUCUCUGAUGCACUGUGGAGUGGAUGUGUGUUUCUGCAAUGUUUGGAGCACAAAGGUUGCACAUUCUCAAGAAGGAGUUAGGGGCUAAUUAAAAACCUCUUGGAUAUCUGAGUCACCUUGACUGUUGCAUCUGGGAAGUGGAUGGAAGAGAUUAGCUAGUUGCCACCAGCUCCGGUUUCCUGACUGUAAUUGAACUGCAUUCCGUUCAGCUGCAAAUGCUGUCAUUCCUCCUCACUGUCACCUCAAGGAGAUGUGUGGGGUGCAGAUUUCAGCUGCCCCUGUGGGAGCUGAGUGCCUUGGGGAUCCUUCCUUCUGAUCCAGUUGCCCUUGUUGCUUUUCCAUGUCUACUCCAGAGGCCACUCUGUUGAAAAGAAAGCACAGGUCAAUUUAAUUACUAGACCAAAGAAACUAGAAGGGAAAAAGAGAAAAGGUUUCCUCCCCUAGAGCAUCCACCUGGAAGAAAGGGCACCUUUGUCUCAGCAGGCUCCUGGGUCACCUUCUCAGAUCAACAGUGUGUUCAUUAAACGUCAAAGAAUUUUAACAUUCGCUCAAAGGAAGUGCAGUUCGGAGGGAAGUCUGCCGCAAAGGGGAAGCUACACAACCUGUCUCCACAAUUUUUCACUGCUUGCUGCUGGGUAUUGACACACCACUACUUCCCUCUAAUAGCUCAGAGCCUUUGAAUUGAAAUAUUGUAACAGAUUUGACCCACGGGGAAAGGAGAAGAGGAAAUGACUUUUAUCGAGGGCCCACCACGUACCGAAUACUUUACAUAUAUUUUCUCAUUUGACCCUUACAGCGACCCUAUGAAAUGAGUAUUAUUACUUCCCGUUUACAGAUGAGGAAACAGAAUCAGAAGGUUAAGGAAGAAUUUCAAAGUCUAGCAGCUGGGGUAUGGGUGGAACAGAAAUCCAUUACUGGGUCUUUGCAUUCAGAAGCCUGUGUUCAGCCCUGCCUCUGCCCGCAGUUCACACACAAGGGCUCCGUAGGACCCUCUGGCUACAGGCUUUGGGGAUUGGUGAGACAGAGUGGGGCAGCAGGUCCAAGGCCUGGGUUUCCCUUGGAAACAGGACAAUGGAAGAAUCUUCACUCCAGGGAGUGUCAGCGAGGGAGACACUGGUUGGAAGGAAGAACAAUGCUGCUGGAGGGGUUUCCAUUAAUUCCUUCCUUUUACA